rnacentral:rRNA from 1 species
UACGUAGGGGGCUAGCGUUGUCCGGAAUCAUUGGGCGUAAAGAGCGUGUAGGCGGUCCGGUAAGUCCGCUGUGAAAGUCAAAGGCUCAACCUUUGAAAGCCGAUGGAUACUGUGAAGCUAGAGUACGGAAGAGGCGAGUGGAAUUCCUGGUGUAGCGGUGGAAUGCGCAGAUAUCAGGAGGAACACCAAUAGCGAAGGCAGCUCGCUGGGACGUUACUGACACUGAGGCGCGAAAGCGUGGGGAGCGAACAGG